rnacentral:rRNA from 1 species
UUCUCCUACGGGGGGCAGCAGUGGGGAAUAUUGGACAAUGGGGGGAACCCUGAUCCAGCGACGCCGCGUGAGUGAAGAAGUAUGUCGGUAUGUAAAGCUCUAUCAGCAGGGAAGAAAAUGACGGUACCUGACUAAGAAGCCCCGGCUAACUACGUGCCAGCAGCCGCGGUAAUACGUAGGGGGCAAGCGUUAUCCGGAUUUACUGGGUGUAAAGGGAGCGUAGACGGUCCGUUAAGUCAGCGGUAAAAUUGCGGGGCUCAACCCCGUCGAGCCGUUGAAACUGGCAGACUUGAGUUGGCGAGAAG